rnacentral:rRNA from 1 species
UACGUAGGGGGCAAGCGUUGUCCGGAAUCAUUGGGCGUAAAGAGCGUGUAGGCGGUCCGGUAAGUCGGCUGUGAAAGUCCAGGGCUCAACCCUGGGAUGCCGGUCGAUACGGGCGGACUUGAGUGUUGCAGGGGAGACUGGAAUUCCUGGUGUAGCGGUGGAAUGCGCAGAUAUCAGGAGGAACACCGGUGGCGAAGGCGGUCUGCUGGGCAGUUUCUGACACUGAGGCGCGACAGCGUGGGGAGCAAACAGG